AUUGAACGCUGGCGGCAGGCCUAACACAUGCAAGUCGAGCGAGCGGCGGACGGGUGAGUAAUGUAUGGGGACUGCCCGAUAGAGGGGGAUAACUACUGGAAACGGUUGCUACUACCGCAUACUAUCGGCUAACCCAUAUGGGUUUAGCUAGUUGGUGAGGUAAUGGCUCACCAAGGCGCCGAUCCCUAGCUGGUCUGAGAGGAUGAUCAGCGACGCUGGGACUGAGACACGGCCCAGACGCGUACGGAGGCAGCAGUGGGGAAUAUUGCACAAUGGGCGAAAGCCUGAUGCAGCGACGCCGCGUGGGGGAUGAAGGCUUUCGGGUUGUAAACCUAUGUCGCUAUCGAACGGGUAGGUGGAGAAGAAGCGCCGGCUAACUACGUGCCAGCAGCCGCGGUAAUAG
rnacentral:rRNA from 1 species